rnacentral:rRNA from 1 species
CAUGUCCUUUUGAUAAAAAUUUAAGGUCUAAUCUGCUCAAUGAUAUUUAAAUAGCCGCAGUAUUUUGACUGUGCAAAGGUAGCAUAAUAAUUAGUUUCUUAAUUAGAAGCUGGAAUGAAUGAUUGGACAAGAAAAUUUCUGUCUCUUUCUUAAUUUUAUUGAACUUUAUUUUUAAGUGAAAAAGCUUAAAUUUGUAUAAAAGACGAGAAGACCCUAUAGAGUUUAAUAGUUAAUUUUAAUAAAUACUUAGAAUAUUAAUUUAAAAUUAAUUAUUUAGUUGGGGUGACUAAAAGAUUUAAAAAAUUCUUUUAAAAAUUAAGUUGAAUAUUUUCAAUUUUCUAAUCUAUAGUUUAUAAAACUAAAAUAAAUUACCUUAGGGAUAACAGCGUAAUUUUUCUUAAAAGUUCUUAUUAAAAGAAAAGUUUGCGACCUCGAUGUUGGAUUAAAAUUAAUUUUUGGUGCAAUAACUUAAAAAUUAGGUCUGUUCGACCUUUAAAAUUUUACAUGAUCUGAGUUUAGACCGGUGUAAGCCAGGUCGGAUUCUAUCUUUAGAAAUUUAUUAUAUCUUAGUACGAAAGGACCAGUUAUAAGUUAAAUUAAUUGU